UACAUGUGGGGCAAGCGUUGUUCGGAAUUACUGGGCAUAAAGGGUGCGUAGGCGGUUUGUUAAGUCACUGGUGAAAGUUUUCGGCCCAACCGGAAAAUUGCCUGUGAUACUGGCGAACUUGAGUGCGUGAGGGGUGGGGGGAACGAGCAGUGUAGCGGUGAAAUGCGUAGAUAUUGCUCGGAAGGCCGGAGCCGAAGGGGCCCCACUGGUACGUAACUGACGCUGAGGCACGAAAGCGUGGGGAGCAAACAGG
rnacentral:rRNA from 2 species